CGGCGCACGGGUGCGUAACGCGUAUGCAAUCUACCUUUCACAAAGGGAUAGCCCAGAGAAAUUUGGAUUAAUACCUUAUAGUAAUACGACUUGGCAUCAAGAUGUAUUUAAAGAUUUAUCGGUGAAAGAUGAGCAUGCGUCCCAUUAGCUAGUUGGUAAGGUAACGGCUUACCAAGGCAACGAUGGGUAGGGGUCCUGAGAGGGAGAUCCCCCACACUGGUACUGAGACACGGACCAGACUCCUACGGGAGGCAGCAGUGAGGAAUAUUGGACAAUGGGCGCAAGCCUGAUCCAGCCAUGCCGCGUGCAGGAUGACGGUCCUAUGGAUUGUAAACUGCUUUUAUACGAGAAGAAACACCUCUACGUGUAGAGACUUGACGGUAUCGUAAGAAUAAGGAUCGGCUAACUCCGUGCCAGCAGCCGCGGUAAUACGGAGGAUCCAAGCGUUAUCCGGAAUCAUUGGGUUUAAAGGGUCCGUAGGCGGUCAGAUAAGUCAGUGGUGAAAGCCCAUCGCUCAACGGUGGAACGGCCAUUGAUA
rnacentral:rRNA from 1 species